GUGACAGGCGGGUUGAGGUUGCCAAUGUCAGAGUAGAACAGAAGGUGAUGCAUGCUGAGGCAGUGAGGAGUAGAGGAUGAUGAGUCAAGGGGCUCAUCUCGAACGUGAGUAUUGCCAAUGCUAACAGAUGGUAUAUGCCAUGAAUUGUAAGGAAGCUGCAGAGAAGGUUGUCUUGUCAUGGUCACGAUUCACCUCAGCUGGCCAAACUACUCUACUGGAGACCCUGAAGGCAUUCAGUCCUAUGUCAGAUGACCUUUUUGACAGUGAAAAGGAACUGGCCACUUUCAUUGAGGGACUCAAAGAUGAAGGUCACAAGCCUACUGUACUUAAAAGUAAGGAUGUCUAUGGUUACAGGUCUUGUACUUCAGUACUCAGGCCUUUAGUAAAGACUCAGAGUACUCUGGACAUUGCUACCUCAAAGGUUAAAAAGACUGGCAAAAAGAAGAGUCGAAAACCCCUGGACAAGAACACUGAAAUCAACUAUGCUUUGUUAAGUGCAGCAGCAAAAGUCGUCCUGAAGAAUCAACCCAAGAUUCUUUUGACAAAUCUGUCAAAGGAGUCUCUCAAACAGACGGUCCUCUCAAAACCACCGGACUUGGCUGUUGGCCCUGUCCAGAUGCAGUCAUACAUAAGAUUGACGAACAUAAUUGGACCCUCUACAGGCCACACAGCAAGACUGCAGUUCCACACAGGUGUGGUCAGAAGAGGUAACGGUACCCAACUCACAUCGGCCACCAUCUCUAACAGGGACACAAGCACUGCAUUUGGAAGGUACCGGAAACUCCGAAAAAUCAGUCACUUUGAGGAGAGUGAACUUUGUGCCUUGCCCAGUCAAUAUCAUUGGAGUCCCUGUUCCUGCCAUGCUGCACAACGACCGGGGUUUGAAGGAAUGCAACAGAAUGCCUUGCUGGAGGGACCAGAAAAUGUGAAGGACUGAUGAGGCUGAGGACAAACUCUGUGAAGAGGCCCAGAAAUGGGGUCUGGCUGGUCAAAGAGCAGGAAGACCUCUGACUGAGCCAGAGCAACCGGAGGUUCGAGGUGAAGGUUGACUCAAUCAUAGACAAGGUGAGGUAAGCCCAGAAGAUCCUUCGAGGUCACCGGUCAGAGAUUCGACCACUUAUUGCCUACCCAAUGUGAACGGCCGUCAAGAGUCUUAGUCCUUUUGUCCUCCAUGUACAUGUUUAAACAGUUUCAGUUACAUCUCAAAUCGAGACGGUGCUUUGUCUUGGCUGUGCUCAGUUUGGGAGGAUUGGGAUUGUUUGGGAUACUUUUCUGAGAUUGGGAAAUAAUAUUUAUGUUUAAUAUAUGUUUACAUAAGAGGAUGCUGGUGUAUUACCUAAACAUCCAAAAAUCUGGGUUGUUUUGUCUAACACUGCACAGUAUAGGCCACCCCUUGACUGAUAAGGGAAGGAAUGGAUAAGUGUUGAGUUGAACCUACAGUGUGUGUGUAUAUAUAUUUUUUUCUUCUUUUGAACCAUUAUGAAAUGUAAUUUUCUUCUGUUUUAUAAAUGAUACACAUCUUUGACAAUGAAGUCAUGUAUAACUAUGCAGCAUUCACUUGCUAGAAUAUUACAGCUAUUUUAUAUACAUAAUUUCUAGUCAUGUCAUUACUGUAUUUUGGAUAAUUGGGUCCAUUCAAAUGGUGUGAUUUUUAUUUCCAGAUGUGUUAUGAAGGUAGUUUUCUUUUUGGAUGUGAUAAGUUUAAGAGAUCCUAUACAUCUGUUAAAGGAUGCAUAUGGAACAGGGCAAACAAAACAACCACAGCGUAACCUAUUCACAACCAAUACUGCCCAAUGAGGCAAAGGCAGAAACUGGUCAAAUGAGCUAUGUUUUAUUUUUUUUCUUCAUGAUAUACAUGUGGACAAGUAUCAUGCCUCUUCUGUUUUGGAGAAAGUGAGGGUCAUGUUAGCAGUUACUGUGAAACAAGGUAAAUAAAAGCCAUCUUUCACAGUUCUACACUAUGAGCAGUUAAUGCCUUUUUUGCUUUGUAGGGCAGAAUAGUAUCUUCUUUCUCCUAAUAAAAACAAAGAGACCUUUUUUUAAAUAUGCAUUUGCAUAGACAUUUGGUUUCCUGCCAAUUAUGCGUGCCAGCACGUGGGGAACCACUCGAUUAACUUGUGGCGUAGGACUCGAUACGUGGCACUGCAAACAGGGCAGCAUUUUAGAGCUAUCCUAUGGAGAGAAAAAAAUUGCAAAGAUGUUCUGACACUAGUGCAGUAAUCAAAUUACAUGUCACAAUGUUUUGGUUAAUUUACAGAUGUCGAUAGUGAUGACAAGGUGAUUUGCCUUAUAGACUUUGCUGAAAUGUGUUGAUCAUAACACCUGUAAUAUAACAGUAAUUUUGUAAUAAAAUAUGAGACUCUGGGA